AGGAGCCAUAUGAGGUGAAAAUCUCAUGUACGGUUCUGUAGAGUGGCAGUAAGGGUGACUUAUUUGUCAACUUUUC
rnacentral:ncRNA from 1 species